rnacentral:rRNA from 1 species
CCCUUAGAUGUUCUGGGCUGCACACGUGCUACACUGGCAGGUUCAGCGAGCUUCAUGCCCUGAUCUGAAAGGAAUGGGAAAUCUUUUCAAAACCUGCCGUGCUUGGGAUAGAUGUUUGCAAUUAUUCAUCUUCAACGAGGAUUGCCUUGUAAGCGCACGUCAUCAGCGUGCAUUGAAUACGACCCUGUAUUCUGUUCACACCGCCCGUCGCUCCUACCGAUUGAAGUUUUCGGUGAGUUGACAGGAGGAUUUUUUUGAAACUGGUUCGCCAGUGGAUUUUAGAUCCAAAUGCCAACGAAUCGAUGGCUUUAGAGGAAGGAGAAGUCGUAACA